rnacentral:rRNA from 1 species
UACGUAGGGGGCAAGCGUUGUCCGGAAUCAUUGGGCGUAAAGAGCGUGUAGGCGGCCAGAAAAGUCCGCUGUGAAAACUCGAGGCUCAACUUCGAGCUGUCGGUGGAAACUUUCUGGCUAGAGUCCGGAAGAGGAGAAUGGAAUUCCUGGUGUAGCGGUGAAAUGCGCAGAUAUCAGGAAGAACACCAAUGGCGAAAGCAGCUUUCUGGGACGGUACUGACGCUGAGACGCGAAAGCGUGGGGAGCGAACAGG